rnacentral:rRNA from 1 species
GACGAACGCUGGCGGCGCGCCUAACACAUGCAAGUCGAACGGAGAUAAGAUUUCGGUUUUAUCUUAGUGGCGGACGGGUGAGUAACGCGUGAGCAACCUGGCCUUUAGAGGGGGAUAACGUCUGGAAACGGACGCUAAUACCGCAUAACGUACAGAGGCGGCAUCGUUUUUGUACCAAAGGAGAAAUCCGCUGAAGGAUGGGCUCGCGUCCGAUUAGGUAGUUGGUGAGGUAAAGGCCCACCAAGCCCGCGAUCGGUAGCCGGAUUGAGAGAUUGGCCGGCCACAUUGGGACUGAGACACGGCCCAGACUCCUACGGGAGGCAGCAGUGGGGGAUAUUGCACAAUGGAGGAAACUCUGAUGCAGCGACGCCGCGUGAGGGAAGAAGGUCUUCGGAUUGUAAACCUCUGUCUUCAGGGACGAAGAAAGUGACGGUACCUGAAGAGGAAGCCACGGCUAACUACGUG